UAAAAUUAUUUUACAUAAUAUAUUAGAAAUGAAAUGUUAUUCGUUUUUAAAGGUAUCUAGUUCUUUAAGAAAUAAAUUUAAUUUAGAAAUUUUUUAUUAUUUAAUUUAUUAUGUAAUUAUAUAAAUAAUUAAUUUUAAUAUUUUAUGGGAUAAGCUAUAAAAUAGAAUUUUUAAAAAUUAUUAAUUAAAUUAAUAAAUAUAAGCUUAUAAAUAGUUAUUAUUAAUAAAAAUGUUAUAAUUUAUUUUUUUUAUAUAUAUAUAUAUAUAUUAUUUAUUUAUAUUUUAAAAAUUUUAUUAAAGUAUUUAUUUUAAUUAAAAAAAUAAAAUAAUAAUGAUAAAAUUAGUAUAAUAUUAUUGUAUAAAUAAAUUUGAAUGUUAAGUUUUUAUAAAGAAUUUGGCAAAAAUAAUGUUCGCCUGUUUAACAAAAACAUGUCUUUAUGAAUUUUUUUUAAAGUCUAACCUGCCCAAUGAAUAAUUUAAAUGGCCGCAGUAUUUUGACUGUGCAAAGGUAGCAUAAUCAUUAGUCUUUUAAUUGGAGGCUGGAAUGAAUGGUUGGAUGAAAUAUUAACUGUUUCAUAAAAAUUUUUAUUAAAAUUUUAUUUUUUAGUUAAAAAGCUAAAAUUUAUUUAAAAGACGAGAAGACCCUAUAAAUCUUUAUAUUUAAAUUAUAAUAAUUUUUUAGAAAAAAUUUUAUUAUUAUAAUUAAUUAUAUUUUAUUGGGGUGAUAUUAAAAUUUAAUAAACUUUUAAUUUUUUUUAAUCAUUAAUUUAUGAAUAAUUGAUCUACUAUUAGUAAUUAAAAAAAUAAGUUACUUUAGGGAUAACAGCGUAAUUUUUUUGGAGAGUUCAUAUCAAUAAAAAAGAUUGCGACCUCGAUGUUGGAUUAAGAUAUAUUUUUAGGUGUAGUAGCUUAAAUUUUAAGUCUGU
rnacentral:rRNA from 1 species